UACGGAGGGUGCAAGCGUUGUCCGGAAUCACUGGGCGUAAAGGGCGCGUAGGCGGCUCAUGAAGGCUGUGGUGAAAGUCCGGGGCUCAACCUCGGAUCGGCCGUGGCGACUCGUGGGCUGGAGCACUGUAGAGGCGGGUGGAAUUCCGGGUGUAGCGGUGGAAUGCGUAGAGAUCGUAAGGAAGACCAGUGGCGAAGGCGGAUCUCUGGACAGUUACUGACACUGAGGCACGAAGGCCAGGGGAAGCAAACGGG
rnacentral:rRNA from 1 species